UCGGGCGAGCCUUGUCUUGUCUUCUCCCCCUUUUUCCCCAGGCUGAUGGGCCGGCCCGGGAGGGGGCGGGGCCGGCAGGUGCCUUCAUGAAUAACUUAAACGAGCCUCCCAACUGGAACAUCCUGCCCAAUCGGCGCGGUCCCGGCGAUGACGGCAGCCGGUGGAAUUACGCCCUGCUGGUCCCCAUGCUGGGCCUGGCCGCCUUCCGUUGGAUCUGGACCAGAGAAUGUCAGAAAGAAAUAGAAAAAGAAAGACAAGAAUACUACAGAAAAGAGUCAACUUUACAAAAAGACCUGGAAGGCAAAUACCGGGAUAUAAUCACGGAGAAUCGUCGCGCUGUUGCUCAUCUGGAGGUGGAGCUGGAAAAGGAACGCAACAGGACCCUGAGUUACCGUGAAGCCCUCGUGUCCCAGAGCCGCAAACUAGUAGAAGAGAGGAAGCUGCUGGAACAGGAGCAGGAGAAGUUGGAGCGAGAAAAACAAGUCCUUUUGCAGUCUGGAGCAGAAGGUACCUUGUACCAGAGUUGCCUGGCAAAGGAAGAAGAGUGGCAACAGAGAGCCAAUGUUUUACUAAAAGAAUUUGAAGAGGGACUGAAGGAAAGACAGGACAUCUACUGUAGUCUUAUUGUACCCAGAAGUCAGAGACUAGAAAUAGAGAAAAAUCUGCUAGUUAAAGCAGCAACUAAUCCUGUUGCUAUGGCUUUACAUGUGGAGAGUGGCUUAAAAGAUAUUUUCAAACAUGAUAACUACUGUGGCAAUGUGCUGAACAGAACCAGAAGUCAAAAUGGAAAGCUUAUGUGGCUGUAUCUGAGAUACUGGGAACUAGCUGUUGAACUGCAAAAAUACAAGAGGGUAGAAAAGGCCGUGUUAGGAAAACGCUAAGUAGGGGAAGCAGUGGGAUUCCGCGCGAUCCACUGUGCGUGGUAGGGGACAAUCACAGUUGUAGUCUGAAGCUGUUAAAUCCUUCUGCUUCUGUGUUGCCACCUCUCUUCCUCCUUGCACUUGUAUUUGCAUGGGACAUGUGCAGUGCUGGUGCCUUUCCUCUCACUAACAGCAGGUGCUCUGAUGAGCUGUGCAUGCUCCUAAACUCCGUGAGUGUGUUUGUGUUGCAAUAUAGAGAUAUGCCAACUCCCCAGGUAACUCCAGAAGCAGCAAAACAGAACUCAGGUUAGAGGGAUUUGCCUCGUUGAUGGUCACUCCAGCAACAGAGAAUGGUCAUUUGUCUCCCCCAGGUGCAGUAGCACAUUUGUGCUCCUUAUCCCUGACAUUUUACAUGGUGUCUCAACACUGUCUUUUUUUAUUACUAUUAUUUUUUAAAAAUUUGUUUAAGCAAGACUGAUUUUGAGGCAGAUGUUUGAGAGAGGGUGUUGGAGCCAGCUGCUUGACACAUAAAUCUUACGUGUCUGUAUGUACAAUUACAUAAAUAUAUAUAUGUGUGUGUUUAAGUGUAUGUGUUAGUAUUCUGAGGGGGGGAAUAGUUUGAUGCUGUUUCGGAUUAGUCAGUCUUGCAUUGUCUUCCAGUUUAAUAUACAAAUAAUGCUUUAUGAGUGAAACAUCCAAAAGAUGCUAAUUCAAAUAAUGUAUAAAGGAACAGACAGAUGUCCCAUUGGCACUUGGGAUCCAUUCUCAGAUUCUAGAGAGUGUAUAAACUGGAAGUUAUAUUUUCAUAUAUUGGAGAUACCUUAAAAAUUCUUGUUUUUUUCUCAUCGAGGUUUUAGUUGUAACCCAGUAAUGUGCCACCUUUAUGGGUGUCCCCAUGCUGCUGCUUCUGCCUCUCAGGGCACUGGCUGCCUCCUGGUUUGCUUGCAGGGACCUCCUUGCCAUUGCACCUGGCUCUGCUCCUUAGACAGGUCCCAUUUGUUGUUUGCAGAUGGGAGCCUAAAUGCAGCCUGCACUGGUAGCCACUACUCCCUCUCCACCUGUUUCCCAGAACUGAGAAGUGUUACUUAUUUGUACAACUAAUUGAACUAGUGGUCGUGGACACUUUGAAGAUCAUUGUAUCAAGACAGAAGGGUUGUUUCAGAAGGCUUUUUAAAAGUGUGUAACUGAUUUAGAAGCACUGGUCCCAUCAGUUUCUACCAAAACUCAUGUUUGUGGGUAUGCAAUGUAUUUUUGAAAUGUUCCCCCUUUGUAGGUUGUUAUGCUGAAAAUUCUAAUGUAAGUUAAAAUGUAAGUUUUAUCUUGCCCCGCACUUGUUCUGAACUGGUUAAUUGUUUGGAACUGCCCAUAUACAUAUGUAGAAUGCAAGAAUAAUUUGUUUUCAAAGUAUUUAAUGAACUUAUUUUUAUUAUAAAAUUGUCACUUAGCUGUUAAACAAUAACAUUUA